GCUCAGAGCUCAGGGCUGAGGGAGGACAUUGAGAUUGGGCCACACACUGCCACCAGCACCUCCCAUAUUGUGAAACCCAAAUGUCAGCAGAUUGGUGAUUUCUUGGUUGAGUCACAAGAACAAGACCAUGAGAUUUUCGUACGAUUAAACAAUCCCAUUGAAGUCUGGAAACCAACAAUGAUUGAUCUCACAAGCAAGUGUCGCAUGUGCAGCCAAAGCCGGAUAGAGUUUAAUUCCUCUGUGCGAUAGUGCUCCAUUGUUUUCCAAAAACUAUUAAAAAGACAUCAGUGACAGGGAGACAUGUUUCUUCAUUACAAUGGACACAGUUUAUUUCAAGCUGGCUGCGCUUACACCGUCCUCCUGCUUUCAUACUCUUUAGAAUUUAAACCUAGCUAUAAAAAGACUUCCAGAAAACACCAUGCACUCCUGUUCGAGUAUCUUUUGCCAGAACUGACAAUGUCCACUUUUACAGUGUCUUUAGGCCUUUUGAAACUUGCACCCAAAAAAAUCAAGACUUUUUGAAAGAUUUAUGU